rnacentral:rRNA from 1 species
GAUGAACGCUGGCGGCGUGCCUAAUACAUGCAAGUCGAGCGAACAGAUAAGGAGCUUGCUCCUUUGACGUUAGCGGCGGACGGGUGAGUAACACGUGGGUAACCUACCUAUAAGACUGGGAUAACUUCGGGAAACCGGAGCUAAUACCGGAUAACAUUUGGAACCGCAUGGUUCUAAAGUGAAAGAUGGUUUUGCUAUCACUUAUAGAUGGACCCGCGCCGUAUUAGCUAGUUGGUAAGGUAACGGCUUACCAAGGCAACGAUACGUAGCCGACCUGAGAGGGUGAUCGGCCACACUGGAACUGAGACACGGUCCAGACUCCUACGGGAGGCAGCAGUAGGGAAUCUUCCGCAAUGGGCGAAAGCCUGACGGAGCAACGCCGCGUGAGUGAUGAAGGGUUUCGGCUCGUAAAACUCUGUUAUUAGGGAAGAACAAAUGUGUAAGUAACUGUGCACGUCUCGACGGUACCUAAUCAGAAAGCCACGGCUAACUACGUG